rnacentral:rRNA from 1 species
GCCGCUUUUGUGCUAAGGUAGCAUAAUAAUUUGUCUUUUAAUUAAAGACUAGAAUAAAAGACUUCACAUCUCAAUUAAUGUUUCAAGAAAAAUUAUUAAAAUUAUCCUAAUUGUAAAAAGACAAUUAUUCAUAAGAAAGACGAUAAGACCCUAUCGAACUUCACUUCAGUUUAACUGGGGCAGUUAAUCAAUUAUUAUUUUAAUAAAAUUAAAUUUAAAAUUUGAUCUAUUAUAAUUAAUCAAAUAACUAAGUUACCGUAGGGAUAACAGCGUAAUAAAAUUUUUAAGAUCUUAUUUAAAAUUAUGAUUGCGACCUCGAUGUUGAUUUAAUAUCCUAUUUUACGCAAUAGUAAAUUAAGGAAGUCUGUUCGACUUUUAAAAAAUUACAUGAUCUG